rnacentral:rRNA from 1 species
UACGUAGGUGGCAAGCGUUGUCCGGAUUUAUUGGGUUUAAAGGGUGCGUAGGCGGUUCCAUAAGUCAGUGGUGAAAUACGGCAGCUUAACUGUCGAGGUGCCAUUGAUACUGCGGGACUUGAGUACAGACGAGGUAGGCGGAAUUGACGGUGUAGCAGUGAAAUGCGUAGAUAUCGUGAGGAACACCAGAGGCGAAGGCGGUUACCUGGACAGUUACUGACGCUCAGGCACGAAAGCAUGGGGAGCAAAAGGGAUUAGAAACCCGUGUAGU